AUUGAACGCUGGCGGCAUGCCUUACACAUGCAAGUCGGACGGUAACAGGUCUUCGGAUGCUGACGAGUGGCGAACGGGUGAGUAAUACAUCGGAACGUGCCUAGUAGUGGGGGAUAACUACUCGAAAGAGUGGCUAAUACCGCAUGAGAUCUACGGAUGAAAGCAGGGGAUCGCAAGACCUUGUGCUACUAGAGCGGCCGAUGGCAGAUUAGGUAGUUGGUGGGAUAAAAGCUUACCAAGCCGACGAUCUGUAGCUGGUCUGAGAGGACGAUCAGCCACACUGGGACUGAGACACGGCCCAGACUCCUACGGGAGGCAGCAGUGGGGAAUUUUGGACAAUGGGCGCAAGCCUGAUCCAGCAAUGCCGCGUGCAGGAUGAAGGCCUUCGGGUUGUAAACUGCUUCUGUACGGAACGAAAAGCCCUGGGUUAAUACCCUGGGGUCAUGACGGUACCGUAAGAAUAAGCACCGGCUAACUACGUGCCAGCCGCCGCCGUAA
rnacentral:rRNA from 1 species